rnacentral:rRNA from 1 species
CGGAUGAUGGGAGCUUGCUCCUGGAUUCAGCGGCGGACGGGUGAGUAAUGCCUAGGAAUCUGCCUGGUAGUGGGGGACAACGUUUCGAAAGGAACGCUAAUACCGCAUACGUCCUACGGGAGAAAGCAGGGGACCUUCGGGCCUUGCGCUAUCAGAUGAGCCUAGGUCGGAUUAGCUAGUUGGUGGGGUAAAGGCCUACCAAGGCGACGAUCCGUAACUGGUCUGAGAGGAUGAUCAGUCACACUGGAACUGAGACACGGUCCAGACUCCUACGGGAGGCAGCAGUGGGGAAUAUUGGACAAUGGGCGAAAGCCUGAUCCAGCCAUGCCGCGUGUGUGAAGAAGGUCUUCGGAUUGUAAAGCACUUUAAGUUGGGAGGAAGGGCAGUAAGUUAAUACCUUGCUGUUUUGACGUUACCAACAGAAUAAGCACCGGCUAACUUCGUGCCAGCAGCCGCGGUAAUACGAAGGGUGCAAGCGUUAAUCGGAAUUACUGGGCGUAAAGCGCGCGUAGGUGGUUUGGUAAGAUGGAUGUGAAAUCCCCGGGCUCAACCUGGGAACUGCAUCCAUAACUGCCUGACUAGAGUACGGUAGAGGGUGGUGGAAUUUCCUGUGUAGCGGUGAAAUGCGUAGAUAUAGGAAGGAACACCAGUGGCGAAGGCGACCACCUGGACUGAUACUGACACU